rnacentral:rRNA from 1 species
CCUACGGGGUGCACCAGUGGGGAAUAUUGCGCAAUGGGCGGAAGCCUGACGCAGCGACGCCGCGUGGGGGAUGACGGCCUUCGGGUUGUAAACCUCUUUCAGCAGGGACGAAGCUAACGUGACGGUACCUGCAGAAGAAGCGCCGGCUAACUACGUGCCAGCAGCCGCGGUAAUACGUAGGGCGCAAGCGUUGUCCGGAAUUAUUGGGCGUAAAGAGCUCGUAGGCGGUUUGUUGCGUCCGUCGUGAAAGCCCACAGCUUAACUGUGGGUCUGCGGUGGAUACGGGCAGACUAGAGGCAGGUAGGGGAGAACGGAAUUCCCGGUGUAGCGGUGAAAUGCGCAGAUAUCGGGAGGAACACCGGUGGCGAAGGCGGUUCUCUGGGCCUGUACUGACGCUGAGGAGCGAAAGCGUGGGGAGCGAACAGGAUUAGAUACCCGCGUAGUC